GAAGCGGGAAGAGCUCAAAUUUGAAAGCUGGCGUCUUCGGCGUCCGCGUUGUAAUCUCGAGACGUGUUUUCCGUGCGGCUCUAUGGACAAGUCCCUUGGAACAGGGCAUCGUAGAGGGUGAAAAUCCCGUACUUGCCAUGGAAGUACCGUGCUUUGUGAUACACGCUCCAAGAGUCGAGUAGUUUGGGAUUGCUGCUCAAAGUGGGUGGUAGACUCCAUCUAAAGCUAAAUAUCGGGGAGAGACCGAUAGCGAACAAGUACCGUGAGGGAAAGAUGAAAAGCACUUUGGAAAGAGAGUUAAAAGUACGUGAAAUUGUCGAAAGGGAAGCACUUGAAGUCAGCCAUGCUGCUUGAGACUCAGCCUGGCUUUUGCUUGGUGUAUUUCUCGGUAGCAAGCCAGCAUUGGUUUGUGUCGUCGGAGAAGCGUAUGGGGAAUGUGGCAUCCUCGGAUGUGUUAUAGCCCUGUGCAGGAUACGACGACG
rnacentral:rRNA from 1 species